rnacentral:rRNA from 1 species
GUCUACGGCCAUACCACCCUGAACACUCCCGAUCUCGUCUGAUCUCAGAAGCUAAGCGGGAUCGGGCCUGGUUAGUACUUGGAUGGGAGAAAGAAAAGCUAAAGAACUAAGGCAAGCAGUCC